CUCAAAUUUGUAAUCUGGCACUUUCAGUGUCCGAGUUGUAAUCUCGAGAAGUAUUUUCCGCGCCGGACUGCAUACAAGUCUGUUGGAAUACAGCGUCAUAGUGGUGAGAACCCCGUAACUGAUGCAGAUGCCCGGUGCUUUGUGAUAUACUUUCGAAGAGUCGAGUUGUUUGGGAAUGCAGCUCAAAUUGGGUGGUAAAUUCCAUCUAAAGCUAAAUAUUGGCGAGAGACCGAUAGCGAACAAGUACCGUGAGGGAAAGAUGAAAAGCACUUUGGAAAGAGAGUUAACAGUACGUGAAAUUGUUGGAAGGGAAACGCUUGAAGUCAGACUUGCUAUUUGGAAUUCAGCCGCAAGGUGUACUUUUCAAUUCGCAGGCCAGCAUCAGUUUUUGGGGGUGGAAAAGGGUAGAGAGAAGGUAGCAGUUUCGGCUGUGUUAUAGCUCUUUGCUGGAUUCAUCCUUGGGGACUGAGGAACGCAGCACGCUUUUUGCAAGGCUUUCGAGCUUUUCGUGCUUAGGAUGCUGGUGGAAUGGCUUUAAACGACCCGUCUUGA
rnacentral:rRNA from 1 species